GCAAGAGAUGACGACUGUAACGGUAAAUCAUAUCAGGCGAUAAAUCAUGGCUGAACCCAGAAUGAGGGUUGGAAAUUGAAAGACGAGAACCAUUAGAGGAGACGGUGUCAUUUUGGAGAUUCAAGUGAGGAAGCUGAGCUUCGAGAGACGCAAUCUGAUUCUCUAUGUCAGUCUUAGAAGCCUUCAAGAUUUGAAUUUGGGCGAGGAUUCGAUCUGCUUCACCUCCAUUUGACUCCAUCUGAAUUGGUUGCUUGGUUUUGUUUUUGCAGAAAAUGAGGGUUAGAGUAACGAGAAGAA
rnacentral:misc_RNA from 1 species